ACUGAUAUUGAUUUUUUUUUUAGGUGGGAACAAUGUUUUGUCGCUGACCCCAUCCAAAGCAGUACAUUGCUUAGCUUCCAUGGUGGUACUCUUGUCCGCUUCUCCAAACUGGGAGCAUGCCACUCACCAUCUACUGCAGGAGAGAGUCGGGAGGAGAACUCUGCAGCCUGAACUCCACCAAACAGCUGCACCAGCAGUCUCUCUGGAGUUGGUGAAGCAGAGGAUGGGGCUGAGCUUCAUGCGCAGGAUGAAGUGGAGGAUGAGAAGGGGCUUUUUGCUUAACGUACAGGGCACAUAGUACUCCUAAAAACACAAAGGUCAAAGGUCAUCUCUUACCGUCAGACCCUGGGGGAAGUUAAAGCGGCCUUGUUCCUGGGUGGGUGCUGCUGCUGUGGUGUUGUUGCUACCGCUGAUGCUGUGGAUGGAGCUGAAGAGUCGGGGCUGGUGGAG